AUCAUGGCUAUCUUCCACCACCACAAUGCUGCCGACUCCCAUGCUCCUUCUUGCUCUGGAGGCGUGGUUUUGGCUUCACAAGAUGAGAAGAUUGUAUGGGAGAACACACUGAAUGCUCGUUUUGAUGUUAUAUUUCGGCAGAAGCUUCCUGAGAUUCGCAAGAAGCUGGUGAAGUGAAUGGUUGACGAAAUUUCUUUGCAAUAAAUAGAGUACUUUUCUGUAUUAGGAUGAGGUCGAGAUUACUCGUACUUUCUCUUUUCCAACAGCAGUUACAUAGGUGUUGUACAUAACCUUAUGGUUUUUGAUAACAUGAGAUUUCAGGAUUUUGGA